GAAGAGAUGGCUCAGUGGUUAAGAGCACUGGCUGUGUGCUUCCAGAGGACCUGAGUUCAAUUCUCAGCACCUGCA
rfam:Mus musculus chromosome 11, GRC primary reference assembly.